rnacentral:rRNA from 1 species
UACGAAGGGGGCUAGCGUUGCUCGGAAUCACUGGGCGUAAAGGGUGCGUAGGCGGGUCUUUAAGUCAGGGGUGAAAUCCUGGAGCUCAACUCCAGAACUGCCUUUGAUACUGAAGAUCUUGAGUUCGGGAGAGGUGAGUGGAACUGCGAGUGUAGAGGUGAAAUUCGUAGAUAUUCGCAAGAACACCAGUGGCGAAGGCGGCUCACUGGCCCGAUACUGACGCUGAGGCACGAAAGCGUGGGAGCAAACAGG